AGAGAAAACCAUAAAUCCCAAGACUUGAACAUAUAACUUUUUAAAAGCUUUAAGAGGAAGGAAGUCAGCCUCCAAAUGAACUCUAAACCCUACAAUAAUUACAUGAAAGGGACAUGAAAACAUGAACUGUCUUCUUGAGAACUGCAACAUUCUUUAUACAGGAGAUACUGUCAAAAAGACUGAUGUGUUAAAGGUGGACAAAUGAGGAUGAUUUGGCUACAAGACUGUGGCACCACUCCAGUGAGUCAAGAACCUUUAAAGGAGACAGAAAGUGCAAGAGAAGAGGAACUUACCCUUCUGUAUCUUUCAAUCAAAGAGGCAUCACUAUGCUGCUGGUAUGAUUAUUUUUAAGUUCUAUUUGCAAUUGCUUGUCUACAAGAGGAAUGUUUAAGCAAAUGAAGGCAAAUAACUGCUGGCAUCAAGUCAAUGUCUGCCAUUCAACUAUCAUCUCUUAGUUUCUUAUCCUUUUUACUGAUCUGACUCAUGUCACUGAAAUUAGAGGAACCAAGGGGAAAAAAUGAAAUUUACCUCAAAGUACUGGCAUUUUUACAGAUUUACCUUUGUAUUUAUAGCAUAUUUCCUGUUCUUCACACUAACAAAAAUACCCGGUGCCUCCAAGCACCACUCUCUAAGUAAUGUCCUCCUACCAUCUCAGCAUUUAAUAGUGGAGGGGGAGAAUGCAGAACCAGGAGUGAUUGUGAAUCUUUAUCACAGGAUUUCUCACCAAAAACCUUUAAGAGGAGACUGAGAACAAGAAUGUUUAGGACCAUAAAUUUAUAUUACUUUUCCUCACCACGAUGAAGAGACUGAAAAUAAAAAUUAAGAUACUUUUACAGAGACAGUUCUGAUCUUUGCCUUCCACCUGCCAUCCCAGUAAGACAGACAAUGGUCUGCCUAGCACAGAACAGAGCCACUCACCUCCUGCCUGCUCUCAAUAAGCAUCUGAUUCCCUGAAAGAGCUGACACCUUGCUCCCAGUACAACAAAUCAGUCUGGACAGUCAAGAGAGACUUUCACUGUGAGGAUUUGAAACUAAUUAAUCCUAGUCACCAGGUUUUACCUGUUAGCCUUUUCCCACUAGGCAGGAAUGAGUUCAAACACAGACCAACCUGUGGUUGUGAAAAAAUAUUGCAUAUACUCUUACCACUCAUACAUAUUAGGCAGGGACAAAGUGGUACAAAUUAAAUUAAAAUGCCCAAAUCACACUUAAUUGUAACAUUUCCUGGGUUUUGAGUACUCAGCAAACAUCUUUAACCAAUAUGUAAUGUUAAACAUUAUAAAUGGUAUGCUAAAAAUACCUGUAUCCUAAAUUCCUGGGAGAAUGCAGUCUGGACCCCACUGGUGGUUGCCAUUUGUGCAGGGGGUCUAAGCUCCCAUCCACUUUUUGGGUCACUUUAUCCCUGUGGAUACACAGAACAUGCCUCUACACAUUAAUGAUGGCAAGAGAUGCAUUACUUGUCACAUGGGGUUAGAAAAAAAACCUUUCUCUGUUUUCCUUCUCUUCCACAGCCACACAGGACCAGUUGUACUGUGGCUUUCUGGGGGUCAAGUUGAAAUUGCAUUCUAUUUCAGACUCCAUAAGCAGUGAAAAUGUUCUCUGUCUGUGUGUACCAACAUUCAUGCAUCUUGCUUAAUGCAGCUAUUAAAUUAAAAGAUCCUACUGGUUCUAAUUGGUCUUCCUGAGUCAAAGUGUUUAUCCAUUCCACUUAAGGUAAAGCUCCAUAGAGAGUCUAUUUAUAAAUAUUACCAACAUGGUUAAUGCUUUUGACCUUUGAUGGUG